rnacentral:tRNA from 1 species
GCAGUGGUGGUCCACUGGUAGAAUUCUUGCCUUCUCUGCAGGAGACCCAGGCUCGAUUCCUGGCCAAUGCA